UCCAGUCUUUCCGUAGGUGAACCUGCGGAAGGAUCAUUA
rnacentral:rRNA from 1 species